GCUAUUGGUGUGUGAUAUGGCUCUGUGAGCUUUUGUAUGGCCAUAUAGUGAUAUUGACAUAGAUGUGCGUAAGAGCAUUUCCUUUCGAUAGCAGCAUUGAAGAUUAUCUCUUGAGAGUAGGAUUUUAAAUAGCCAUUCACGUAUGUGAUCAACUGAGUCUCUUCUCACUCAGAUUUUCUUAAGCUCAUGAAAUUACAAUCAGGUGUGCAUUAAGUGCUUUUUCUCUUGAUGUUAAUGAACACUGUAAAUCCUGGACAAUGAAAUGGCAUGCCUGGAUGUAGGUGUAACUUGCAAAUUAUUAUGUGUUGAUUAUGUCUAUUUCCACCACUUCGAAGCUUCUAUUAUCUGUUUCCCAGCAUCACGAGUGUGGACGACUAGGGACAUUAUGUGUGCAGACAACUGGGGAUCUAACAUUGCAAACAAUAAUCAAUCAACCUUAUCUUUUAUAAUUGUAGCAUCUGAGUCAACUUGCACACACCUUGGAUGAUUUCAGGGGUACCUGCUACUUCUCACCAAUAUAAGUAUUGGGUAAAUGUCGACUAAGGCUUGAAUAGAUGUGAAGAACUUAACUACUAUUUUAUCGGAAUUUGAGGCCUCUCUCAACCCCCACUUCAUUGACCACUGGACCACACCUUGUUUUGGUGUUAUUUUAAGAAAAUGGUUUGUGCCCAACUCUUUCUAAUCUGGUUGACCAUUUAUUAUAAUUUCCCCCCUUUU
rnacentral:misc_RNA from 1 species